ACGUAUUUAUGCAGAAGGGAACCAACCCACACAUCUGUCAAAAUUGAGUUAUGUAUGCAGAAGACGUUAAAAAUGCACCUUAUACCCCCUACAAAAAGACCAAAGUUGUAGAAUCAUUUUUACGUAUAAAACCAUUUCGUUAUCAAAGUUACCAACCCACAUUUUCACUGUUUCAUUAAAUUUAAAAAGAUCCAAGCUGUUUAGUACCUUACUCAAUAUACUUUAUAUUUAUUUAUAAGGAUCCAAAGCACAUGGUUCUUCUAUAUAGUAUUGUUUUAUUAAUUUCAUAAGAGACCAUGCGGGUUGGUUCCUUUUUGCAAAAUAAAAACUGCAAAAAUGUACACCGUCUAAAAGAUCCAAGUCACAUGGUUCCUUAGUAAAAUUCUUUUUUUUAAUAUUGAGUAACUAACUAAGUUCAUUGGAUCUGGUUUGCAUAAUUCAAAUUAGCUCAGUGUAUGUGUUCACAAAGGUCCAUAUUACAUGGUUCUUUAUUAAAUGUAUUAUAUUUUGAAAGAUAAGGGAACCAUGUGUCUUGAAUCUUUUUUGUUUAUUUACUAUUUAUUUUAUCACACUCAUAUUAAUAAAAUAAUUUAUAAUUAUUUUAUUAUUAUGAGGAUGUUAUGAAUGUGAGUUAUGAAAUGAUAUAGUUACAACAUAAGACAGUGUCUAAACAAAUGUGCGGCAUCUUUACUAUGGCAAAUAUUUACAACUAGCAACACUGUGCUUCAUAUCAAAAUAAAUGUUAAGCUUGUACAAAAAGGUUUGAAAGUGCAAUAAUCUUCCGGAAUUUGUGCAAAAUCUAUGUAAAAAUGAAGAUACUUGGUGCGAGGUCACGUGCGAUGGUUUUAAGUUGUUUAAAUAAACAUUCUGACGAUAGAAACGGCAGCGUCCCGGAUUUUCUCGACGAUUCGCGAUCAAGCAGCCCGAUUCAGAUAUCUGCAGGUAGGUAUUAUUAUUUUUUCUGUAGCUUAUAAUUUGCAUGCCAAUGUUUUUAAUCUUAUUUUACUGCAAAAAACCCUUCCGACUGACGAAUUAAAUGUUUUCAUUUACGUUAACACUAAUAAUAAUUAUAAUAACCGUUCCUUUCUCUGCAGCAUUUUGUAUGACUAACGUUUCGUAAUAAUCGUAACAUUUAUUUUUUAAUGGCCAUAUAGGAACAAAAAGCGAUCUCCAUUCUAUGUAAGUAUGCAAAUGCCAGGAAAACCGCUAGGAAGAUGAUGAUGAUGAGCUUGGGAUGGGGUUCAGGUGGAAUGAGUAUGUGUUGGGAUUAAUGUAAGGCUUAUUUUCCUUCUAGAUUGCCUGUGUUUGCGAAAAAACGUUGGACGAUUAUAUGGGCAUAAUGAAAACAUGCAAGAAAACUAAUGCCAUGAAAGUUCAUCGCAUAGAACAGCAAGACUCCUUGUCUUCACUGAUGCUGGAAAAAAUAUAAUCAACAGAAAAAAAUGUACAGAUGGAACUAAAGUUUCAUGGCUGACCAUAAAAGAGAUAGAGUUAAAAAAGCACAACAUGUAUAAAAAUUUUAUGAGGUCAAACUUUAUUGAAGAAUUCAAGGAAGUAGAUAUAAAAAAAAAUUAGGGGAAGAGCUUUUGUCAUCUUUGACCCUGCAUUUAAUGCAGCCACUUUGGCCAACAGGACAGCCCGUUCCCGACGCGAAAUUAUAGGACCUGAAGAGCUUUCUUCACUUGAUCCCACAGGUCCAUCAAGUCCAUCAAAACAUCGAGGAUGAUCUGGAGGGCUUUUCUGGUGAACUGGACUUCGAAGUAGAGGAUAAAAGCCCUUAAAAUUAUUGAGAAAAUAAAGCAUUAUGCUAAAGUCGUUUGUAUUAUAUAUUUUUUUCUAGUUUUUUUUUAUUACAGCGUAAUAUCUGAUGUUUGAUUGAUGUUGGUGCGGUUAAAGUUAGAAAACAAUAUUAUUAUAAAAGUUUAGAGAUUGUUUUUGUUUACGAAUAAAGUAAAUUUGCCCUGG